GGUUGGUAUGUGGCAUGGAGGACGGUGCUGGUGCACGUCCCGCUCGUGCAGGAGGUCGCCGGCCUGCGCCCGAAGAAGAAGCCCGCCAAGCCCAAGCCCCCCAACCGCGGUCGCAUCGGCAGGUUCUAUCAGUCGCAAGCACAAGCACAGAGGUGA
rnacentral:rRNA from 1 species